GGCUGGGUGGUGGAAUUGGUAUACACAGCAGACUUAAAAUCUGCCGCCGCGAGGAUUGAGGGUUCGAGUCCCUCCCCAGCUA
rnacentral:tRNA from 1 species